rnacentral:snRNA from 1 species
GCAUGUGGGAGGGAUCUGGCUGCAACACGUCACCCCAGUGAUCGCCCAGGGUUGAUUCGGCUGAUCUGGCUGGCUAGGCGGGUGUCCCCUUCCCCCUCUCCGCUCCGCGUGCGUCCCUCCCAGAGCUGCGCGCUUGGUGGAAGAGGCCGGCCUUCCCCGAACAGAGACGGACCUGUAGCUAUGCUCCCCCACUAGGCCCUCCAGACAAGCUCUCAAGGCCCGAGACUGCGAGGCUUCCUACAAGUGUGCAUCUGCCUCAAGAAGUGACUCUUUUUUUAAAAAAAAAAUUUAUUUAUUU